GUUCAAACAAUUUCAUGGACCCAGAACACAAAAGAAAAACAGGAGACGACAGCUCUGCCGUACUUCUGACUGAGAGGAAGGAGAAGUCAGAAAGAUGUGAAGCAUGACAAAAACGAUGCUUCACUGAUGGAUCUGAAGAUGGAGGAGCUCUGUGAGAAGGAAUAAAGGUGGUCUCUAGGAAAACACCCCACCACACAGCAAGCAAAGGAAAUAAGAACCUCAGACCUACAAAACUGCAAAGGACUGAAUUCAGCCAACAACCUGAAUGAGACUAGGAACAAAUUCCUCCACAGGGCCUUUAGAGAAGAGCCCAGUUACCCACACCUCAUGUGGGCUUUGCAACACUCUUUGGGAACCUGGGAGAUGGGCCUGAGACUCUGAGAAGCUAAAGAAGAUUUUUAGGGUCCAUAAGAUGAAAGAAAAC